rnacentral:rRNA from 1 species
CGCGGUCAUACGUAGGGUGCAAGCAUUAUCCGGAGUGACUGGGCGUAAAGAGUUGCGUAGGUGGUUUAUUAAGUGAAUGGUGAAAUUUGGCGGCUCAACCGUACAAACUAUUAUUCAAACUGAUAAACUCGAGAAUGGUAGAGGUAACUGGAAUUUCUAGUGUAGGAGUGAAAUCCGUAGAUAUUAGAAGGAACACCAAUGGCGUAGGCAGGUUACUGGACCAUUUCUGACACUGAGGCACGAAAGCGUGGGGAGCGAACCGGAUUAGAUACCCGGGUAGUCCACGCCGUAAACUAUGGAUACUAGCUGUUGGAGGUAUCGACCCCUUCAGUAGCGAAGCUAACGCGUUAAGUAUCCCGCCUGUGGAGUACGGUCGCAAGACUAAAACAUAAAGGAAUUGACGGGGACCCGCACAAGCGGUGGAGCGUGUUCUUUAAUUCGAUGAUAAACGAAGAACCUUACCAGGGUUUGACAUCCCUUGAAUUACUCCGAAAGGAGUGAGUGCUUUAUUGAGCAAGGUGACAGGUGAUGCAUGGCCGUCGUCAGCUCGUGUCGUGAGAUGUUUGGUUAAGUCCAUCCACGAGCGCAACCCUUGUGAUUAGUUGUAUUUUUCUAAUCAGACUGCCCCGGUAACGGGGAGGAAGGAGGGGAUGAUGUCAGGUCAGUAUUUCCCUUACACCCUGGGCUAGAAACGCGCUACAAUGGCCGGUACAAUGCGGAGCGAAGUCGCGAGAUGGAGCAAAUCGCAUCAAAGCCGGUCCCAGUUCGGAUAGUAGGCUGAAACUCGCCUGCUUGAAGUCGGAAUCGCUAGUAAUCGCAGAUCAGCAUGCUGCGGUGAAUACGUUCCCGGGUCUUGUACACACCGCCCGUCAAACCAUGAAAGUCACCAACACCCGAAGU